GAUGAACGCUGGCGGCAUGCCUAACACAUGCCAGUCGAACGGUAAGGCCCUUCGGAGUUCACGUGAGGCGGUCGGCAGCGUAACGCGUAGGAACACAUCCCGUAGCGUGGGCUAAGGCACAGCAAGGGGUUCUUAUACCGCAUACGGUCUUCGGAUUAAAGCGGUUUUGCGCGGGAGGAGUGGCCUGCGCGAUAUUAGAUAGUUGGUGGGGUAAUGGCUCACCAAGUGGAGGAGGUGUAGCUGGUCUGGGUGGAGGAUCAACUAGGCUGGAACUGCGACACAGUCCAGACUCCUACGCAACGGAGCAGUAUAGAAUAUUACACAAUGAGCGAAGGCGUAAUGGCGCAGUGCCGCGUGCAAGAUGAAGGCCGUCGGGUUGUGAACUGCUUUUAUAAGAGGCGAGUAUGACGGUAACUUAUGAAUAAGCAACGGCUAACUACGUG
rnacentral:rRNA from 1 species